UACGAAGGGUGCAAACGUUGCUCGGAAUUAUUGGGCGUAAAGCGCACGUAGGCGGCUUAGCAAGUCGGAAGUGAAAGCCCUCGGCUCAACCAAGGAAGUGCUUUCGAAACUGCUGAGCUUGAGUAGUUAAAAGGAUCGCGGAAUUCCCGGUGUAGAGGUGAAAUUCGUAGAUAUCGGGAGGAACACCAGUGGCGAAGGCGGCGAUCUGGGAACAUACUGACGCUGAGGUGCGAAAGCGUGGGGAGCAAACAGGG
rnacentral:rRNA from 1 species